CUACGGGAGGCAGCAGUGGGGAAUCUUGGACAAUGGGCGCAAGCCUGAUCCAGCCAUGCCGCGUGGAUGAUGAAGGCCUUAGGGUUGUAAAAUCCUUUCACCGGGGACGAUAAUGACGGUACCCGGAGAAGAAGCCCCGGCUAACUUCGUGCCAGCAGCCGCGGUAAUACGAAGGGGGCUAGCGUUGCUCGGAAUUACUGGGCGUAAAGCGCGCGUAGGCGGAUUGAUUAGUCAGAGGUGAAAUCCCAGGGCUCAACCCUGGAACUGCCUUUGAUACUGUCAGUCUGGAGCAAGGUAGAGGCGAGUGGAAUUCCGAGUGUAGAGGUGAAAUUCGUAGAUAUUCGGAGGAACACCAGUGGCGAAGGCGACUCGCUGGACCUUUGCUGACGCUGAGGCGCGAAAGCGUGGGGAGCAAACAGGAUUAGAUACCCUGGUAGG
rnacentral:rRNA from 1 species